CUUUUCAUUACUUUGUUUCCGGUAAAACUGGUUCCCUAGGCUGCCAGAUCCCUAAGAAAGUUUCUGCGACGCCCCCUUGGCGCCGCCCACGCCCAUGCAGUCUUUGGACUGAAGUGGCUACAACAGCUCUAGAGUUUCUGGGGACUCUUCCUUCUGCCUAUCCUGGGAUGCUCAGUCUUCUCUGUCUCUCAUCUGUAGUUUAUGAUUAAGCACAUAUGAAAUGGGCCUUAAGAAUUUGCGUUUCUGAGAAGUUCCCACAUGAUGCUGAUGAUGAUGGCCUGAAGACUUCACUUUGAGAAUCACUUUCCUAGUUUUCUCUUGCCGCUGCCAUUUAAGAAGUGCCUUUCGCCUCCUGCCAUGAUUCUGAGGCCACCCCAGCCAUGUGGAACUGU
rnacentral:lncRNA from 1 species